GGUGGUCUUGACCCCUCCCCAGGGGUGGGUCUGAACAACACCAGGUGAUGGUUUGCCCACUCCCCCUUCCUGCCCAGAGACCCAUAAAAGCAGGGGGACUUCCUAUUUUACUCUCUCUGCACUCCCUGCUCUCUGCAUACCAGCAUUGCCAUCCUGUUCCUGCUUUCUGUUUGUUUCACCAUGUGGCCAUCACCAGCAAAAUCAGUCCCUGGAAAUUUAAACUGGAACCGAGACACUUUGUAAGACAGAGGCACCGAUGAAACAGUGAAAACUGCUGCAAGCUGCUGAGAAUGUUCCUGCCCCUGCCCUGCAGCAGCUGGGAAAUGACAAUGAAGCCUCAGUGGCACAGUUUCCCUCCACGUAGCAUUCCUGAGCAAGACAUGUUAAAGCUACGACACAGAGAAGGCACCAACCAAGCACUGUGCUGAAGUGGAACCCAGUGUGAGACCACCCCCAGCACUGGAAAGCAUUCCAGCUGCUGCAGUGGAGCAGCAACAUCUGUGCUGUGCUCAGCCUGGGGGAAGGGUGCAUUUGGAGUUUUAUACUAACUCCUGCAAUCCCAGGCUUGCAUUCCUGUCCUCUCUGUGCUUUUCAAAUGCUACACUUGGUUUGGGGUGCAUUUUUUUCCAUACAAAACCAGACUUUCUGGUCGAUGAGAUUAAGCAAACUGGCACCAAAAAUAAAAAGCUAAUUAAACAACGUGAUUAUAAAUUGUUUAUCCUUAGAGAACAGAUUAAAAAAAAUCAAAAUAAGUUAUGUCAAGAUGCAGUCUGAAUAAUAAUAAAUUGUGGUAGCUCUUGACUGCCAGUAGUCGGCUACCAGCUGAGUCAAGAUGCACCCUCAGCUCCUGCUUGCUGCCUCUGAACAGCAGUUAUGGAUUAAGCCUGACAGUGUGAAAAUAAAUGGGAGAGUGCAGCUGAGGCCAAGCAUUUAUCAAGCCUGGUAGUACUCUAUGCAAGGCAAGUCUGACACAAUUUCAUAAGAGAACAGAAAACUCAACGCUGUCUGCAGGACGUCAAAACACAGAUUUCUGCCCUGUACCAAAUGCUGCUAUUGGUAGCUUGAUGGGUUUGAAGCUAUUUCAGGGUUUGGGUUUAGUGC